rnacentral:rRNA from 1 species
UACGAAGGGGGCUAGCGUUGUUCGGAUUUACUGGGCGUAAAGCGCACGUAGGCGGAUCGUUAAGUCGGGGGUGAAAUCCUGGGGCUCAACCCCAGAACUGCCUUCGAUACUGGCGAUCUCGAGUCCGGAAGAGGUGAGUGGAACUCCUAGUGUAGAGGUGGAAUUCGUAGAUAUUAGGAAGAACACCAGUGGCGAAGGCGGCUCACUGGUCCGGUACUGACGCUGAGGUGCGAAAAGCGUGGGGAGCAAACAGG